rnacentral:misc_RNA from 1 species
GUGUGUGUGUGUGUGUGUGUAUUCGACCUUUUAAAUCCCAUAGCAAACAUGGAUGCACGAUCAAACAGUGAAGUCUAAUAAAAGCAAUACAAUGAAAAUCCUCACUCUUUGUAUAUAAAUGGUUUCCUGUUGAAAUAGUUUGGAGUGAGAGUGGGAGGGAAAUUCCAUAAUUUUAUUUUUCACAGUUGUAGCAAUGUGAUAUUCUUUCCUAUUUAGUUAUAUUAAAAAAAAAAACCCUCAAAUUCUAAAGGCCUAGCAAUUGAUUUAUUUUUAGUUACUGUUGCAGUAGCUUUCUCACUGUGAUGCCUUUCUUUGACCCAUGUGAGGAGGUUUGCGAGUGUCCCUCCUUUGUUUUGUUUUUUCGUCUGUUCUAUAAAUUUGUGAAAUUUUUUAUUGUUUGUUGAUGGAAGGUUGAAAUGGCUUGGUGGGAA